rnacentral:rRNA from 1 species
CUAGGGGUGAAAGGCCAAUCAAACUCGGAGAUAGCUGGUUCUCCCCGAAAGCUAUUUAGGUAGCGCCUCGGACGAAUACUACUGGGGGUAGAGCACUGUUAAGGCUAGGGGGUCAUCCCGACUUACCAACCCUUUGCAAACUCCGAAUACCAGUAAGUACUAUCCGGGAGACACACGGCGGGUGCUAACGUCCGUCGUGGAGAGGGAAACAACCCAGACCGCCAGCUAAGGUCCCAAAGUAUUGCUAAGUGGGAAACGAUGUGGGAAGGCUCAGACAGCUAGGAUGUUGGCUUAGAAGCAGCCAUCAUUUAAAGAAAGCGUAAUAGCUCACUAGUCGAGUCGGCCUGCGCGGAAGAUGUAACGGGGCUAAGCAAUACACCGAAGCUGCGGCAAUGUCUUUUAGACAUUGGGUAGGGGAGCGUUCUGUAAGCCGUUGAAGGUGAAUCGUAAGGUUUGCUGGAGGUAUCAGAAGUGCGAAUGCUGACAUGAGUAACGACAAAGGGGG